UACGUAGGGCGCAAGCGUUGUCCGGAAUUAUUGGGCGUAAAGAGCUCGUAGGCGGCCUGUUGCGUCCGCUGUGAAAUCCCGGGGCUCAACCCCGGGCCUGCAGUGGAUACGGGCUGGCUAGAGGCAGGCAGGGGGAGAACGGAAUUCCUGGUGUAGCGGUGAAAUGCGCAGAUAUCAGGAGGAACACCGGUGGCGAAGGCGGUUCUCUGGGCCUGUACUGACGCUGAGGAGCGAAAGCGUGGGGGAGCAAACAGG
rnacentral:rRNA from 1 species